rnacentral:snRNA from 1 species
UACAUUCCCCUAUUAAAUAAAA